ACGUAGGUGACAAGCGUUGUCCGGAUUUACUGGGCGUAAAGAGCGCGCAGGCGGUCGAUCAAGUCGAGUGUGAAAGCCCCCGGCUCAACUGGGGAGGGUCAUUCGAUACUGAUCGACUCGAAGGCAGGAGAGGGUAGUGGAAUUCCCGGUGUAGUGGUGAAAUGCGUAGAUAUCGGGAGGAACACCAGUGGCGAAGGCGACUACCUGGCCUGUUCUUGACGCUGAGGCGCGAAAGCUAGGGGAGCAAGCGGG
rnacentral:rRNA from 1 species